GGUUGUGGCUCAGCGGUAGAGCACUUGCCUAGCACGUGUGAGGCCCUGGGUUCAAUCCUCAGCACCA
rnacentral:tRNA from 1 species